GGUGGUUGUGGCUAAUAAAUACAAGAACGCGGAAAUGUCAAAUACUUGACCCGCUACACAAAAAAGCUCCAAGCCCUGAGAGAAAGGAAAUUAAUAAAUUCACUGGAUAUGUAUUUUCAAGAUUGAUAGCAUAUGCCGGCGGGAAACCUCUCGAGAAAGGCGAGAAGGAGAAGGAAAUUAAAGCGCCAUAUGUUAAAAUUUCAGGCCAAAAAACAAGCUAUGACUGCGCUAUUUACGUAAUGAAGUGGCAUGAGUUAAUAGAGCCGGAAAACAUUAAAAA